rnacentral:rRNA from 1 species
GACGAACGCUGGCGGCGUGCUUAACACAUGCAAGUCGAACGGAAAGGCCCUGCUUUUGUGGGGUGCUCGAGUGGCGAACGGGUGAGUAACACGUGAGUAACCUGCCCUUGACUUUGGGAUAACUUCAGGAAACUGGGGCUAAUACCGGAUAGGCGCUCCUGCUGCAUGGUGGGGGCUGGAAAGUUUCGGCGGUUGGGGAUGGACUCGCGGCUUAUCAGCUUGUUGGUGGGGUAGUGGCUUACCAAGGCUUUGACGGGUAGCCGGCCUGAGAGGGUGACCGGCCACAUUGGGACUGAGAUACGGCCCAGACUCCUACGGGAGGCAGCAGUGGGGAAUAUUGCACAAUGGGCGGAAGCCUGAUGCAGCAACGCCGCGUGCGGGAUGACGGCCUUCGGGUUGUAAACCGCUUUCGCCUGUGACGAAGCGUGAGUGACGGUAAUGGGUAAAGAAGCACCGGCUAACUACGUG